AUUGAACGCUGGCGGCAUGCCUUACACAUGCAAGUCGAACGGUAACAGGUCUUCGGAUGCUGACGAGUGGCGAACGGGUGAGUAAUACAUCGGAACGUGCCUAGUAGUGGGGGAUAACUACUCGAAAGAGUGGCUAAUACCGCAUGAGAUCUACGGAUGAAAGCAGGGGAUCGCAAGACCUUGUGCUACUAGAGCGGCCGAUGGCAGAUUAGGUAGUUGGUGGGAUAAAAGCUUACCAAGCCGACGAUCUGUAGCUGGUCUGAGAGGACGAUCAGCCACACUGGGACUGAGAGACGGCCCAGACCCCUACGGGAGGCAGCAGUGGCGAAUUGUGGACAAUGGGCGAAAGCCUGCUCCAGCAAUGCCGCGUGCAGGAUGAAGGCCUUCGGGUUGUAAACUGCUUUUGUACGGAACGAAAAGCCCCGGGUUAAUACCCUGGGGUCAUGACGGUACCGUAAGAAUAAGCACCGGCUAACUACGUGCCAGCCGCCGCCGUAA
rnacentral:rRNA from 1 species